UACGUAGGGGGCAAGCGUUGUCCGGAUUUAUUGGGCGUAAAGAGCGUGUAGGCGGCCAUUCAGGUCUGCUGUGAAAACUCGAGGCUCAACCUCGAGACGUCGGUUGAAACCGUUUGGCUAGAGUCCGGAAGAGGAGAGUGGAAUUCCCGGUGUAGCGGUGAAAUGCGCAGAUAUCGGGAAGAACACCCGUGGCGAAGGCGGCUCUCUGGGACGGUACUGACGCUGAGGCGCGAAAGCGUGGGGAGCGAACAGG
rnacentral:rRNA from 1 species